GUGAGGAAUUUUCCGCAAUGGGCGAAAGCCUGACGGAGCAAUGCCGCGUGAAGGAUGAAGGCCUAUGGGUUGUAAACUUCUUUUCUUAGAGAAGAAUAUUGACGGUAUCUGAGGAAUAAGCAUCGGCUAACUCUGUGCCAGCAGCCGCGGUAAGACAGAGGAUGCAAGCGUUCUCCGGAAUGAUUGGGCGUAAAGCGUCUGUAGGUGGCUUCAAAAGUCUCCUGUCAAAGAUCAGGGCUUAACCCUGGGCCGGCAGGAGAAACUCUGAGGCUAGAGUAUGGUAGGGGCAGAGGGAAUUACCGGUGGAGCGGUGAAAUGCGUAGAGAUGGGGAGGAACACCAAAGGCGAAAGCACUCUGCUGGGCCACAACUGACACUGAGAGACGAAAGCGAGGGGAGCAAAAGGGAUUAGAAACCCCAGUAGUCC
rnacentral:rRNA from 1 species